AUGGGGGGGGGGGAAGGGGACGGCGGGUCGGGGUCCCGGGGACCCUGGGGUCCCGGGAGAGAGGGUGGGGGGGAACUUCAGGGACGUGAUUACCGGUCCGAUGCCGGUCCACUCCGCCCGGGCUGUGUCAGCGUCACUUCCAGGGAGCCCUGGGGGAGGUCAGAGACCACAUGGUCAGAGCCCCCCCCAAAAAAACUGGGCCGCGCCCCGGGCCUUAAUCUGGGGACCCCGCCACCUGAGGAACGGGCCACGGUCCCCGCCGGGGUCCCCGGGGCUGGAUUGGAGGGACGGGGGUUGGGGAGGGGGGAGAGAGUGAGAGAUACGACGACGACAGAGUGUGUGCGUGUGUGUGUGUGUGUGUGUGUGCACGCGGGGGGGAGGGGAUGGAUCACGGGGGGCGUCCAGAAUGCUCCCUCUCCCUAUCCACAGUCGCGGCCGUCCUGGGGGACGGGUCGGGGAGGGGGAAGGCGCCCGUUCCGCCUGUUUCCCCGCUCUGGAAACCCAGCAGAGAUGCGACCCCCGUCCUGGGCUGGGGGGAGGCCCAAGGGCACCGUGGAUGGGCGAAGGCUGCCUCGGUUUCCCUCUUCUGGGUCCCAGCGAGUCGUACCGUCUGCACCACCCUCCCCGCCUCCUCCCCCAUCACCCCAUUCUCUUCCCUCCCCGGGCAGGUCGGAGCAGGCCGGAGAAGAGCUGAGCGCAGGGGAAGGGGAGGAAGAGAGCAGCUCUUCUCUGUCCCCACCCCACCCCCACUCGACCGGCCAAGAGUCUGUCCCCCUCCCUCCCUCCCAGGAGCGGGCAGACAGACCCUGGGAAGACAGUCCCUGGGUCCCCUCCGGACCCCGGGAGGCAAUGGUUAUGUGGGGUGAGAUUGGGGGGGGGGGGAAGCAGAGAGCCCCGGGCCCUUCGGGUCCCGGGUGGCGGGGGAUGAGGGAGGGUCGCAGAGAAGCCUGGUCCCUGGCGCCCCGGCCCCUUCUCCUCCCCCACCCCCUCUAUAUUUAUCCGCCCUCGCCAGGUGUUGGCACCGGACCCGCCGCUCAGCUCCCUCCGCCUGGGCACCGGGCCACGGGCCCUGCCGGGGUCCCCGGGGCUGGAGUGGAGGGGCGGGGGUUGGCGGUGGGGGGGAAAGUGAGAGAGACGGGGGGGGGGGAACAGAGUGUGCGAGUGCGUGUGUGCACGCGGGGGGGAGGGGGCUGGAUCACGGGGGGCGUCCAGAACGCUCCCUUCUCCCGAUCCACAGUGGCGGCCGUCCUGGGGGCCGGGGGGGGGGGGGGGAGGGCAGGUGGGGAGGGCGCCCGUUCCUCUGCUCUGGAAACCCAGCAGAGAUGCGACCCCCGUCCUCCCCUGGGGCGGAGGGGGAUAAGGGUGGUUGGGCACGGAGAGUGGGGGUUUGGGUGCGGACUCGGUCUCGGCCUCCUUCCCCUUCGCCCCCCCCCUCCCGCCCCCCUUUUCGCGGGGCCCCGGCCGUGGGGGCGGGGAGCGGAGCCGGGGGUCCCAGCCGCCCCAGCCGCCCCAGCCGGCCCGGCCGCAUUCCUUGGCUCAGGCGGAGGCGGAAGGAGACGGGACGGGGACGCGGUCCUGGCGGCAGGAAAGGGAGAGGCCGGGACGGGACGGGACGGGACGGGACGGGACGGGACGGGACGGGACCGGCCGGACCCCGCGAGACGCCCCCUCCGCCCGGGGCUCCCCAGGGCAGGUGGGGCCUACAAGAGUCGCAGAAAGCAUCGGUGGGGCUGCCCCUCGCGUCCUCCCUCCUUCGGAGCCCCCGGGGGCGAAGGCGGAGAGACCCCCGGGGGUGGGGACAGGACGGAUGCGGUGGAGGGCUGCCGCCGGGGCUACGGACACCCUCGGGACUCACCCUCCCGCCGCCCGCCGGGCCGGGGCUCCGCAGCUCGAAGGACUCCUCUUCCUCCUCCUCGUCCUCCUCGUCCUCCUCCUCCUCCUGGUCUCGAUCGCCCUCGUCCCCGCCGGGCUCCCCCUCCCCGUAGUCCCGCCGCAGGAGGGUGA
rnacentral:lncRNA from 1 species